rnacentral:rRNA from 1 species
CCUACGGGAGACAGCAGUGGGGAAUAUUGCACAAUGGGGGAAACCCUGAUGCAGCGACGCCGCGUGAGUGAAGAAGUAUUUCGGUAUGUAAAGCUCUAUCAGCAGGGAAGAAAAUGACGGUAUCUAAUGAAUAAGCCCCGGCUAACUACGUGCCAGCAGCCGCGGUAAUACGUAGGGGGCAAGCGUUAUCCGGAAUUACUGGGUGUAAAGGGAGCGUAGACGGGAGAGCAAGUCUGAUGUGAAAUGCCAUGGCUUAACCAUAGAACUGCUUUGGAAACUGUGAAGCUAGAGUAUGGGAGAGGUAAGUGGAAUUCUUGGUGUAGCGGUGAAAUCCGUAGAGAUCAGGAGGAACACUAGUGGCGAAGGCGACCUACUGGAACGUAACUGACGUUGAGGCGCGAAAGCGUGGGGAGCAAACAGGAUUAGAUACCCGAGUAGUC